CUGGAUGCACAGCUCAUGGUGACCCACCUGCUGGCACCGGCCCUGCACACAGACCAUGUCCACAUAUACUGAUGCCCACUGGGCUCUCUGCACACGUUGUAACUCACUUCAUCCUCACAGCCAGCCAGCAGUGACUUCACCAUCUCUGCUCAAAUACAUUAACACCGACUGGCUUGUUUGGCUCUUUCCAGUUCACUUGCCGAUAAGGAAAAGGGAAAAGGAACCAGAGAAGAGAGUCAGACCAUUUAAGCCCUAAUCAAGGAGAUAAGUGACUCCCUCAAAGCUACCACUGAGGCUUUCUGGCUUUCCACCAUGUUCUGAAUUGGACAUUCCAGGCCUUCUAUGUGCUCUUUCUUGGAGGAUGUUCCUAGGGCUGUCAGAAAAGCCGUCCCACACUACGGACUUGGGGCACCAUUGUCGGC